rnacentral:rRNA from 1 species
GACGAACCGUGCGAACGUUGUUCGGAAUCACUGGGCUUAAAGGGCGCGUAGGCGGGCGGCCGCGUCCGGGGUGAAAUCCCACGGCUCAACCGUGGAACGGCCUCGGAUACGGGCGGCCUCGAGGGGGGUAGGGGCAUCUGGAACUGUGAGUGGAGCGGUGAAAUGCGUUGAUAUUCACAGGAACUCCGGUGGCGAAGGCGAGGUGCGUGGACCCCAUCUCGACGCUGAGGCGCGAAAGCCAGGGGAGCCGGAACGGGAUUAGAAACCCGUUG